rnacentral:rRNA from 1 species
AUUGAACGCUGGCGGCAUGCCUUACACAUGCAAGUCGAACGGCAGCGCGGGCUUCGGCCUGGCGGCGAGUGGCGAACGGGUGAGUAAUACAUCGGAACGUGCCCUAGAGUGGGGGAUAACUAGUCGAAAGAUUAGCUAAUACCGCAUACGAUCUCAGGAUGAAAGUGGGGGACCGCAAGGCCUCAUGCUCCUGGAGCGGCCGAUGUCUGAUUAGCUUGUUGGUGGGGUAACGGCCCACCAAGGCGACGAUCAGUAGCUGGUCUGAGAGGAUGAUCAGCCACACUGGAACUGAGACACGGUCCAGAGUCCUACGGGAGGCAGCAGUGGGGAAUAUUGGACAAUGGGCGCAAGCCUGAUCCAGCCAUACCGCGUGGGUGAAGAAGGCCUUCGGGUUGUAAAGCCCUUUUGUUGGGAAAGAAAUCCAGCUGGCUAAUAUCCGGUUGGGAUGACGGUACCCAAAGAAUAAGCACCGGCUAACUUCGUGCCAGCCGCCGCAGUAA